CGUGUCGCGCAUAUCUGCAUAUCAAUAGCGGAGGAAAAGAAACUAACAAGGAUUCCCUUAGUAACGGCGAGUGAAGCGGGAAGAGCUCAAAUUUGAAAUCUUCAAGGUUCUACCUUGACGAAUUGUAGUUUAAAGAAGUGUUUUCUGUUAGAUGAGUAGCAAAAGUUCCUUGGAAUGGGACAUCAUAGAGGGUGAGAAUCCCAUAUUUGGUUAUUCAUUCUAGCUUUGUGAUACACUUUCAAAGAGUCGGAUUGUUUGGGAAUGCAGUCCAAAAUGGGUGGUAAAUUUCAUCUAAAGCUAAAUAUUGGCGAGAGACCGAUAGCGAACAAGUACCGUGAGGGAAAGAUGAAAAGAACUUUGAAAAGAGAGUUAAACAGUACGUGAAAUUGUCAAAAGGGAAGCGUUUGACACCAGUGUUGUUUUUCCGAAAAUCAAUUACGAAUGGCUUGAUUUUGUGUUGUAUUGACCUUAUCAGCUUUCUUCACUUUUUUCGAGUCUUUCUUAAUGCACUUUUCGGUUAACAAGUCAACAUCAAUUUCUUUUGUUGUAAAAGAGUAUUCGGAAGGUGGCUUUCUUUUCGGAGAAAGUGUUUAUAGCCCUAUACUUCUACAAUCGGAGAGAUUGAGGUCUGCAGCGUAGAUCCUUCGGGGUUAGAUACACUUGUGCUAAGUUGUAGCUUUUCAUAGACAACUUGUUGACUAUGUUUAGUCAUGCGGCUUACUCGCUUGAUGCUAUUUUACCUACGCUUAGGAUGUUGACGCGCGUGUGUGCGUGAGUCUAUACAUGACUCUGCGCAUAUCAAUAAGCGGAGGAAAAGGCUGCGGAACUGAACGACCGCUACCUACGCUUAGGAUGUUGAAGAUAUGCGCGACACG
rnacentral:rRNA from 1 species